rnacentral:rRNA from 1 species
CAGCAGCCGCGGGAAUACGAAGGGGGCUAGCGUUGCUCGGAAUCACUGGGCGUAAAGGGUGCGUAGGCGGGUCUUUAAGUCAGGGGUGAAAUCCUGGAGCUCAACUCCAGAACUGCCUUUGAUACUGAAGAUCUUGAGUUCGGGAGAGGUGAGUGGAACUGCGAGUGUAGAGGUGAAAUUCGUAGAUAUUCGCAAGAACACCAGUGGCGAAGGCGGCUCACUGGCCCGAUACUGACGCUGAGGCACGAAAGCGUGGGGAGCAAACAGGAUUAGAUACCCGUGUAGUCCCUGUCUCUUAUAU